GGUAAUGUGAGACAGUGACACCCGAAGUGUGUUGCUUAUGUUCAAUCUACUCCGUUUUUUUUGUUUUGGUAGCUAUCACUGCAGAAAACCCCGCUUCACACAGAUAGGAUGUCGGAAAUGGCAACAGGGUUUUCAGUACUGUGGUGGCAAUCUCAGGGUAUUCUGCCAUGGCUUUAAUCCAGAACACCGGCAGAGUUACAUGCUGGAUUCACCUGGUUUGUUGAUAAAUGGGUCGCGGAUCCAUUCCUUGGCAGUUCGUGGGUCCUUUUUGGUUGGGAAGUAGCGC